GUAGGUGGCAAGCGUUGUCCGGAAUUAUUGGGCGUAAAGCGCGCGCAGGUGGUUCUUUAAGUUUGAUGUGAAAGCCCCCGGGCUCAACCGGGGAGGGUCAUUGGAAACUGGGGAACUUGAGUGCAGGAGAGGAAAGUGGAAUUCCACGUGUAGCGGUGAAAUGCGUAGAUAUGUGGAGGAACACCAGUGGCGAAGGCGACUUUCUGGCCUGUAACUGACACUGAGGCGCGAAAGCGUGGGGAGCAAACAGGAUUAGAUACCCUGGUAGUCCACGCCGUAAACGAUGAGUGCUAAGUGUUGGGGGGUUUCCGCCCCUCAGUGCUGCAGCUAACGCAUUAAGCACUCCGCCUGGGGAGUACGGUCGCAAGACUG
rnacentral:rRNA from 1 species